CAACAACUUUCAAAUUGAAAAACCAACUCUUUCUUAUUCACAUAUCUUUUCAAUUCCCUUUUCCCUUUCGCAUUUUUCACCGACAGUUCUGCUUUUGUCUCAGCUCUCACAAACUUCAAUAACAAUGAAGGUCAGUGUUUUAAUUUCAGCUCAUAAUUAUUUUCAGAUAUUCACACUUUGAUACUCGUAAUUCAGUCUGUGUUUUUGUUUUGAUUGUUUAUGGUCUAAAUCAACUUUCAAAGUUAGUGUGUUGAGUAGUCCUAACAACUGUUUGAUUUUUGCUGAAACAGAAAGUUAUGUUGAAGGUGGAUGUACAGGAAGACAAAAUCAAGCAGAAAGCUAUGAAGGCUGUCUCUGGCAUUUCAGGUAUUCAAUUGAAAUUCAAUUUCUAGACUUCCUCAUCUCUUUAGCUUCUCUUCUUUCAAUGCUCUAAUCUAAUAAAAAAUGAAAACACAAAGGGGAAAAACAAUAGUAAUACAACAGAACUGAUUUUCUUUCAUUCAAUUCAGUGAAUUAGCUUGACUGAAACUGAUUUUUGUUUCAAAAAAUGAAGUCCAAAGAGUAUAGUAUGAAUGAUUCAUUGAUAUUUGGUGAUAUACUGAGAUUGUAUUUGAAAUACUGUUGCAGGUGUGAAGUCAGUUUCUGUGGACAUGAAAGACAAGAAAUUUACCUUAACAGGAGACAUUGAUUCAGUACAAGUAGUUGCCAAGCUAAGGAAGUUUUAUCACACAGGAAUAGUUUCUGUUGGACCGGCAAAAGAGGAAAAAAAUGAAGAACCUAAAAAAAAAAAAAACUUUUUGAUGCAUGCAUAUAUUCAGACAAUGUCUAAUUAAUAAUUAAACAUUUAAUGACAAAAAGGUUGUCAGAUAAUGUUUAAUGAUUAUAAUACUGUAUAUUUAAAAUUUAUAUAUCUAUAAUAAUAAAUAAAAGAAUUCUCUUACUGUACAUAUUUUAUAGUUUUUUUAAUUAUAUUUUAAAUCCUUUAAAAAGUUAUAAUAACAUAUAAAAUGAUACAUAUUUAAUAAUUACAUUUUACUUUUAAUUAUACUUGAAAAUUUAAAAAAUAAAUUAUAUAAAUAUUUAAAAAAUAUCGUAUAACUUUGCAUGUAAUUAUUAUUAUUAAUAUUAUUUUUCAGUGAUAUACGAAGAAUUCUUUUCUCUUUCACCUCAUAACUCUCCUAACACCAAUGCUUCAAUAUCUAACCAAUUUUUAAUUUUUAUUUAUAUAAGAACUAUUUGAGGAUAAAAAGGCUUACUAGUUAAAGAAAUUGGGUUAAACUACUAUUUAAAAGAAUAAAUUAUAACAAGUGAAAUAGGCAAUUAACGUCAAUAAAAAACUAAAGAUUAAAUUGAACCAAAAUUAAAAAUAUUAAAUAUCUUAUUUCUAUUUGUACUAGUAUGGGUCAAACGGUCAAUACCAUGUCUUCACUCUCACAUCCGGGUCGACCGUGUUAGAAUAUAUGACCUUAAACAAGAGGGGUGAAUUGUUUAAAAGAGAUUUUCGUAAACUUUUAAGCCUAGAAUGAAAAUACUUCAAGAAAACCUUGAUUAAGAAAUCAGUUUUUCAAAACAUAAAGCAAAAGCACAACACUGGAAAAACAAUCGGUUGUUUUACCGAAACAAUCGGUUGUUUAUACCAGUUAUCAAAUAACAAAACUGAAUUUAAAGAGAUAGGGAUAGAGAGAUUGUACACAGAUGUUUAUACUGGUUCACUCCAAACCCAGAGCUACAUCCAGUCUUCUCAGAAACCUUGAGGAAAUCCACUAAGCAAUCACAACUUGAUCACUUACACAACAACCAAGAGAAUGACCUUGAACACCUCAAGAAACACACUCUCCUUGGCCAACACACCAACACCAAGAUUGCUGAUCUUGACCCCCUCAAGAACACACAACCAAUCUUAGCAAACACAGAAACAAAACUUGUUUUUACAGAGUACAAGGAUUACACUUGUUACAGAAGAUAAUCUGAAAUCAAUACAAGCAGAAUCCUAUUCCACAAACUUUGAUCAAUCAAAAACUCUAAGCAAUCUCAGCUCUUUGAAAAACUCAAAAACUCUUAGUGAAAACUUGUCAAAGAUUAAUUCUCAAAUCUGUUAUUCUGAAUUUAUUCAAAGAUGUAGUUUGUUAUCAAAUCUUAACAAACUCUUAAAUUGCAUUAAAAGAUUGGUCAAAGCAUUUAAUGACUGGAGCGUAAGCAAUUAAACCAUUUAAAGCUCAGUCAAAGAUAAAACAGUUUUUCUGUUAUGGUCCCAAAACAAACAAUCGGUUGUUUCCUCGAAUCAAUCGUUUGUUUUGGUUCUUAACAGUUCAACCAUUUGAAAAACAGUUUUCAAUCUUUUUCUCAAAACACCUAAGUAUAAACAAUCGGUUGUUUCGACAAAACAAACGGUUGUUUUAACUUGGUUUGAAAACAUUUUACUUUCACAAAGAUUGAGAUGCUUAUGCUUUAGAUUUAAUCAAAGGGUGGAUUACAAAGCUCAAACUACCCCAGAACUAUACUAAACCAGCACAGCAACACCAAGCACAGCAAAGGCUUCAACAUCCUUCAAAGGAUUUGGAUUCUUCAAAGCUUGAACACCACUUGGUUCAACAGACCGAACAUUCCACGUCCGUAACAUUCCUAAACAGACCAAUGCUUUCGGUCUAAUUACGCUCAAUCAAGAUCAGUGAAGUUAAGUCAUUAUUAAGAACUAGGUAACACACCUCUAAACACGAUCCACCUCACUAAUCUGACCCAACAAGGUAGGUCCAUUAAAAUAAUAUAAAUAGCGUACAUUCUAAGAAGUUGAUACGUCAUUUAUUAUUGUAUUCUGACACUAAGUGUCGAACCCCCUUUGUUGAAUAUGUUAAAAAAUGCAUCAAAUGUCAAGAGUUUGCUUCUUACACCAUGCAAAACCAGAAGUGUUGCAUAGCCUGACAUCCCCAUGGCCAUUUGCUGUAUGGGAGAUGAACAUCAUCGGCCCCUUCGCACCAAGAAAAGGUCAAAUAGAAUUCUUCCUCGCUGGAGUCGACUACUUCACUAAAUGGAUCGAGGCCGAGCCACUCGCAUCCCAUCUUCGCCAAGAAUGUGCAAAAUUUUGUAUGACGAAGUAUUGUGUGUUAGUUCGACAUACCUAACACAACAAUAACAAACAACGAUCGGCAGUUCAUCGACAAGGGGCUCCAAUCCUUCUAUAACGACCUCGGUAUCAAGUUUAUUACAGCCUCGGUCAAACACCCCCAAACCAACGAGCAAGCCGAGGCUGCCAACAAGGUCAUUCUAAAUGAACUGAAGAAGCGGCUCAACAAAGCGAAGGGUCGAUGGACUGAAGAACUGAUAGAAGUCCUAUGGCCGUACUAAUGCACCCCCAGACAACCACACAAGAAACUCCGUACAACCUGACGUACGAGACCGAAGCAAUGAUCCCGGUCGAGGUAGGGGAGCCUACCGUCUGAAGACAGAUGUUCGACGUAACCCUCAAUGAGGAAAGCCUGUCGGUCAAUCUUGAUUUGGUCAACGAGCUCCGCGACAAGAGCAAAAUUUGGGAGGCAGCAUGUAAGCUUCAGGCGGCAAGACGCUACAACACCAAGGUCCGACCGAGGAGCUUCCAUAAAGGAGAUCUCGUUUGGAGAAUGAGAAGCGACACGGGAAGAAACGAAGGCAAAUUCUCAUCCAAUUGGGAAUGACUCUUCUGAAUCCGAGAAGUUGUAGUUGGGGGGAGGGGGGAGGGAGUGACUCUCGGGUAAAAUUGUACCGAGGACGUGGAAUGUCACGCACCUCAAAUUUUAUUACAGCUAAAUUAAUAAAGUUUACGCACUCUUUCCUCACCCAACUGUUUUUUCCUAAGGAGGAUUUUCAGUCAGGAAGGUUUUAAUGAGGCAGUUCUCUUCAACAAUAAUGAAUUUGCGCAUCUCAAACACUGGUUAGGUCUAGAUGAAGUCUUAAUCGGCAUACCUGCCGACACUUCGUAACUUGGUUUGAUCUGGAUGAAACCUUGACAGGCAUACCCAACCAACACCUUACAUAUUCGGUUCGGUCUGGAAGAAGCAUUAAUCGACAUACCAUGUCGACACCUCAUAACUUGGUGUGGUCUAGAUGAAGCCUUGACAGGUAUACCCUACCAACACCUUACACAUUCGAUUCGGUCUGGAUGAAGCCUUAAUCGACAUAUCAUGCCGACACCUCAUAACUUGGUGUGAUCUAGAUGAAGCCUUGACAGGCAUACCAUGCCAACACCUUACACAUUCGGUUCGGUCUGGAUGAAGCCUUAAUCGGCAUACCCUGCCGACACCUCACAACCUUGGUUGCAUCAAAACCAAGCCUAAACUUUAAAAGAACUACAAGCGAAGGCCGACCAUCUAUUUAACUUGUUCAAAUUUUUUAUUGUCCAGAUAAUUUACCGGCCGUUAGCUUAACAUGUUAAUUUCUCUUUAAUCAAUUACUUAUUCGACCGAGCAUUUACAAUAUUCAAAGAAAGCGACUGAUUCAUUAAUAAAAGAUGGGGAGGAAGGCCACACCCCCGCCUCAGAAGAAGUACAAAAGGGCCACACCCCGACCGAAGGGAACAACAACUCAAAACCUAAGUCUACUGGUCUUCACCUUCAGCUCCCCUGGUCGGUGCAGGCUGAUCCUUCGUCGUGACCGCCAACGCACUCGCCUCGGAAGGAUCGAAGUUGCUAGACAUUGGCGGCCCCCAUACAACAUAUUGGCCUGGAAGAAGCUCUGCUUGAGCAGCUCCAAGGUCUGGUCAAAGUUGCGGUCCAGCUCCGCCUUGACCUCUUCCUUAGCAGCCUCCAAGCGAGUAACCUCGGAAUUCAGCACUGAGAUCUUGCCUUCACCUUCCCCCACCAUCUUCUUCAAUCAAACCACCACGGUCGCCAUCUCUACUGCCCGGCUCUCAGCCUCAGCCACUUCGUGCUGAGCCUUCUCCCUCUCGGCAACCUCCCGAGCAAGCUUCUCCGCAUACUAAAAGUUAGCAGCGAGAGUUUGCUUCAAACUGCCCGAAGCUUCGGAUAGCUCAUGCUCCAGCCUGGAUAUCUCCUCGAUGAGGCAGUCUCGGUCCUGAGAACCCAGAUGGACCAUGACCAGGGCGCGACACAACAUCUCCACGCUACCCUUCAACAAAUCCGUCGUUGGAAAGGCCUGAAGGACCUCCCAGGUCGGCCCAGGGAACGCAACCUUCACCCCUCGAGAAAAUUGCAUGUCACCCUCAACACCGUCAAGGGUGACAUGGUGACCUCCAGAGCACGUUUGGUUGCGGGAGGGGCGAUUGGUUGGUUGAACUCAUCCGUCAGCGGCGAGUCAACAUCAAUAGGGGAACGGCGAGGAGGAGGUGUCGGUAGGGACCCAAGUGAGCGAGUUGUUGUUGUUAUGUUAUUCGAUUCCCUUGGCCUCUUAUUGGACUUGCCAAAAGGGUCAACUGACCCCAUACCAGCUCAGCCAGCUGAUCCCUUACCGGCAUCUAGGAUUUUGACACUGGGUUGACCCUUUCAUUGGGUGGCCCUAUCCUUGAAAGUAUCGAGCAUGUCACUCGCCUGAGGACAAUCCCGAUUCAUGAGUUCUGUAAAGAAAAGCAAAGUGUUAGUUAGAAUCAAAAAUAUCGACCAAGGGUAAAUGAAACUAGCAUACCCUUAAUAGCCGCCCAGCGCAAUGACUUCGCAUGCACGCCAACUAACUUUCGCGUAGGAAGCUUCCUUGGGAGCAUAUCGAAGAGCGAGAGAAUCUCUAGCUCUUCGAUACCCCCGACCGGUCGAGGCCACUCCUUGAAGUCACGAGGCUUCUUGGUCCAAUACAAGGGAAACCUCAAUCGAUCGAUUUCAUCAAAGAAAUAAGACGUCGCCUCUGGCCGGAAUACAAACUUUAAAAAAUAUCUCUUUGAAUUUUUUAUAAGAGGUAGCGAAGGAAUUGAAAAUGACAUUACCCGACCGACUGAUCAGUGAAGGCCACAAAACAGGGUUGGCCGAGUGAGAAGUAUAAUAGCUGAGGGAAUAAGAAGGGGUAGGGUGGAAAUGCAGAACGUCACAUAUCAAGCGAAAGGCCUAGAUGAACACCCAGGUAUUCGGGUGAAGUUGGGUAGGCGCCACAUUGAGCGUCUGAAGGACACCCAUCGUGAAACUAUCAAAAGGAAGAGAAACAUGCAAGUCUGAUAAAAGACAUGAGUACUUGUAGAAAAAAAGGGGGACUAGUAGCAGGCCGACCCAUGCACACGUUCUCGGUCGGCAAGCAGAGCUCAACACUAAAGAAACUCGAAUGCGCAUCCGCCUUCAGAACUGUGUACCUCCCCAAAAACUUGGCGACAGAUUCCUCGUUUGAGAAGGUGGAGGCGAUCCCAGUCACCUUAGAAUUUGCCCAACCAAAAUUCAUUCGGGAGAUGACUUGCUUGGGGCAGCCCGACCGAUCGAUAACAUUGGCCAGGUUGUCUCCCCUGACCAUCUCUACAGGGUGCGGUACGUCAACCGCACUGACCGAUAUGGAAUCAGUCAUAGAGGAACCGAAAGACAAAUUCGAAGACGAAGAAGAGGGAUGCACGAGAAUAGGAGAAGGAGUAGCCGAAGAAGAAGAAAUAGGCCGAGACAAGGAAGGCAUAACUAACCUUAUAAAAAGCCGAAAUACCAAAACACAACAAGAAGAAGAGGAAACGCUCGGCUCUUAGAGCAAAUAUCAGAGAGAUAGCACAAUAUCUCGACAUUGUUGGGAUCGCUAUUUAUAGCCUCCAAGGGCCUCGAGAGACGAAGCGUCACAACGAUCCCAACCGUUAGAUCUUCCAGAUCCAACGGUUCUCAACGCUUCGCGCCCAAAAAACCCUUCAUUAAUGCAGGUUACAUCACGUGCGCAAGCGCCGCCUGAAGUCACGUCAGGCCUUGUGAACUCCAACAGUCACAUUAAACUCAAAAGACCGACCGACACUCAUCAUUCAAAACUCUUCAGAUCAAAUUAUCCUCGAGCCUAGGGGGUAAGUGUACUGGUGUGGGUCGAACGGUCAAUACCAUGUCUCGGCUCCUACAACCGGGACGACCGAACAUUCCACGUUCGUGUGGGCUGAUUGAUGCUUUCGGUUCAAUUACACUUAAUCAAGAUCAAUGAAGCUAAUUCAUCAUUAAGAACUAGGUAAUACACCUCUAAGCACAAUCCACCUCACUAAUCCGACCCAACAAGGUAGACCCAUUAAAAUCAUAUAAAUAACGCACAUUCCAAGAAGUAGGUACGUCAUUUAUUAUUGUACUCUGACACUUGAGUGUCGAACCUCAUUUGUUGACUUAAGCGUCGGAGUGUCUUCUGUAGGUACCCUCCAUCGGUAUUCUCUAGAAGACCGAGUGAUCGAGCAGCUGAGCUUGAAGGAGUAACAAAAAUUUGAAAGAGAAAACUGAAACAUAGAUCAACCGUCCGAUAGAAAAGAGGAAAACAAAGUUUUUCAAUAGUUCUAUCUCCUUAAGAGUAACACUGUCUUUAAUGAAUCGAUUUUUUAAAAAAAAUUUAUUUGACGUUUAGAAAUAAUUUAGAUAAAUUUUACAAUUUGUUUAUAGUGACGCAAAUUACUGUGGUCUUGUCAAUCAUGGUGACGGUAUAUUAUGAAUGAUUGGAUUGACGCGGAUUCGAACAUGCAACGAAAGCCGUCUUCAUCAUUAAGAUGUCUCAACUCAUUUUCUUACCUAUCGAUCCAAACACGAACUAACGUCACGCUUUCUGCAAAACUUUCCUCGCCUUAUUUUUCAAUACUUUCUCCUACAUUAUUCACCCUACCCUACAUUCUCAAAUAAACAAUUAUAACCCAAUUUAUAUAAAAUUUUAAAUAUGUAUAAUUAUCAAUAAAGUUCAAAAAUAAAUUUAAAGAAAAAGUCAUAUAAGCUCAAAACUUAAAUACUGUUCUGGAAUUUAAAGACUGGAAUAUACGUGUCUUUUCUAUAUUUUUUAAUAUUUUUCAAUUAUUAAGAUUUAAAAAAAAAUAGUUUCACUACUUUUAACAUUCUUUAAAGAACAAUAUAAUAUAGUGUUUUGAUAUAAUAUAGUGUUUUGAUAAAUGGACGGUGAAGGUGAUCAAGUUGAAGAUAUUCAAACUAGUAAAAUAAAAUUUUAAAAAAGUAUUUAUAACUGUUAGAUAAAAAAAAUAAUAAGGUGUUUUCAAAAUUAAAUUAAACAGUGUAAACGAGCUAGUAGCAUUUUUAACUUUUGUGCAAGUACAAAAUAUGACAUUAAGAAACAGAACUUUUGACGUAGAGAAAGGAAAAGCAAACCAACCAUUUGCGUAGACUUGACUUGGUCCAGCUUCUCUCACGAGUCACAACCAUCCACUAUAUAUAUGCUCCUCAAGCUUAUCUUCAUAUUACAACAAUUUUCAAAUUGAAAAACCAACUCUUGCUCAUUCACAUAUCUUUUCAAUUCCCUUUUCCCUUUCGCAUUUUUCAACGACAGUUCUGCUUUUGUCUCAGCUCUCACAAACUUCAAUAAGAAUGAAGGUCAGUGUUUCAAUUUCAGCUCAUAAUUAUUUUCAGAUAUUCACACUUUGAUACUCGUAAUUCAGUCUGUGUUUAGUUUUGAUUGUUUAUGGUCUAAAUCAACUUCCAAAGUUAGUGUGUUGAGUAGUCCUAACAACUGUUUGAUUUUUGCUGUAACAGAAAGUUGUGUUGAAGGUGGAUGUACAUGAAGACAAAAUCAAGCAGAAAGCUAUGAAGGCUGUCUCUGGCAUUUUAGGUAUUCAAUUGAAAUUGAAUUUCUGAACUUUCUCAUCUCUUUAGCUUCUCUUCUUUCAAUGCUCUAAUCUAAUAAAAAAUGAAAAGACAAAGGGGAAAAACAAAAAAAAAAAUAUAGUAAUACACUAGAGCUGGUUUUCUUUCACUCAAUUCAGUGAAUUAGCUUGACUGAAACUGAUUUUUGUUUCAAAAAAUGAAGUCCAAAGAGUAUAGUAUGAAUGAUUCAUUGAUAUUUGGUGAUAUACUGAGAUUGUAUUUGAAAUACUGUUGCAGGUGUGGAGUCAGUUUCUGUGGACAUGAAAGACAAGAAAUUGACCUUAACAGGAGACAUUGAUCCAGUACAAGUAGUUGCCAAGCUAAGGAAGUUUUGUCACACAGAAAUAGUUUCUGUUGGACCGGCAAAAGAGGAAAAGAAGGAAGAACCUAAAAAGGAUGAUAAAAAGAAGGAAGAUGUGAAGAAAGAUUCUGCAAAAGAAAUGGUUGUAGAUCCACUCAAGUUCCAUGAAGCAUAUCCAUAUUAUUAUCAGAUGAAACCACAAUACAAUCCAUAUUACAGUGCCGUAAGUGUGGAAGAGGAUCCUAAUGGCUGUGUCAUUGUCUAAUUUUAUUAUAACUAAGUUGGAUUUAAAAAAUGAAUAAAAAGAAAAAUAUUGUAUUUAUUUUUUUCCUGUGUCUUCUAAUGAGGGAUAGCUGACCAAGCCAAUGAAGGUAUUAUGAUGUAAAUGAAUAAAAUUUUCUUGGUUUCAUACAUAAAGCUUCUGCAGAAUCUUGAUAUCCACACAUUAAAAUAUCAGUUACCAAAUAAACUAUCAAAUGCAGUGUGAUAUUUUUCUUUUCAAACAAACAAAAGAAUGGAGUUAAAUAUUUUUCUUUCCAAAUCUUUGUUUUUAAUUCAACAAAAAAAGCACAGCGUUUAGUGAAACUCUUGAUAAGAGAAAGUUUUAUUAACAUUCUAGAAUUAUUUGGUGAAUUUGGAACCAACACAGUUAGUUAGCUGCAUUGUGUGUGAUAGAGUGUGGUAUUUUGUGGAGGAAUGCAAUGAAUCCUUAAAGACAUUUAAUGCAUGAAAGGUUGUAACUUUAUGAUAUUUUAUGAUAUUUAUAUACUAAUGUUCGUUAAGAUUAAUUAUAAUCUUAAAUAUGAUAAUGAUAAUCAUUUAUAACAUUUUCAGAACUUAUCCAAUGUAACUUACAUAAGCUGUUCCAUGUAUAUUAAAAAGUGUAGUUUCUUAUCUAUGUUAGGUCACAUUAUUAUUAAGCAACAAUUUUAUUUUAUUUUAUUUUAAUAAAGAAUUUUUUAAAAUUUUAAACAUAUCGCAAUUUUAUAUAUUUUAACUUAGACUUAAUUAUUGCAUAUGAUAAAUUUAUUGUUAUAAUAAAUAAAUAAAUUAUUUUUAAAAUUGAGUUAAUUAGAGAAGCAACAUAAACUUUUUUAAGCAACUUUGGAAUACCAAUGCAAAUAUUGUUUCAAGGGACAAAAGAAUCCUAAACAUCAAGCUCUUAGAUCUAUUUUAAAUGGACACAAAAAAAGUUUACUUAUAUAUAUAUAUGUGUGUGUGUAUUAAAAUUAAAAAUUAUGUGUGUGUGUAUUAAAAUUAAAAAUUAUAUGAUUUUGAUUAAAUUAUAGUUCUAAUGUUUAAUGUCAGAUAAUGUUUAUGUCAGAUAAUGUUUAAUGAUUAUAAUAUUGUAUAUUUAAAAUUUAUAUAUCUAUAAUAAUAAAUAAAAGAAUUCUCUUACUGUACAUAUUUUAUAGUUUUUUUAAUUAUAUUUUAAAUCUUUUAAAAAAGUUAUAAUAACAUAUAAAAUGAUACAUAUUUAAUAAUUACAUUUUAAUUUUAGUUAUACUUGAAAAUUAAAAAAAUAAAUUAUAUAAAUAUUUAAAAAUAUCGUAUAACUUUGCAUGUAAUUAUUAUUAUUAAUAUUAUUUUCAGUGAUAUACGAAGAAUUAUUUUCUCUUUCACCUCAUAACUCUCCUAACACCAAUGCUUCAAUAUCUAAACAAUUUUUAAUUUUUAUUUAUAUAAGAAUUAUUUGAGGAUAAAAAGGCUUACUAGUUAAAGAAAUUGGGUUAAACUACUAUUUAAAAGAAUAAAUUAUAACAAGUGAAAUAGGCAAUUAACGUCAAUAAAAAAUUAAAGAUUAAAUUGAACCAAAAUUAAAAAUAUUAAAUAUCUUAUUUCUAUUUGUACUAGUAUGGGUCAAACGGUCAAUAUCAUGUCUUCACUCUCACAUUUGGAUCGACCGAACAUCCCACGUCUGUGUGAGCCGACCAAUGCUUUCGGUCUAAUUAUGCUCAAUCAAGAUCAGUGAAGCUAAGUCAUCAUUAAGAACUAGGUAACACACCUCUAAACACGAUCCACAUCACUAAUCUGGCCCAACAAGGUAGGUCCAUUAAAAUAAUAUAAAUAGCGUACAUUCUAAGAAGUUGAUACGUCAUUUAUUACUGUACUCUGACACUAAGUGUCGAACCCCCUUUGUUGAAUAUGUUAAAAAAUGCAUCAAAUGUCAAGAGUUCGCUUCCUACACCAUACAAAACCAGAAGUGCUGCAUAGCCUGACAUCCCCAUGGCCAUUUGUCGUCUGGGAGAUGAACAUCAUCGACCCCUUCGCACCAAGAAAAUGUCAAAUAGAAUUCCUCCUCGUCGGAGUCGACUACUUUACUAAAUGGAUCGAGGCCGAGCCACUCGCAUCCCAUAUCCGCCAAGAAUGUGCAAAACUCUGUAUGACAAAGUAUUAUGUGUUGGUUCGGCAUACCUAACACAAUAAUAAAAAACAACAAUCGACAGUUCAUCGACCAGGGGCUCCAAUCCUUCUAUAACGACCUCGGUAUCAAGUUUAUUACAGCCUCGGUCAAACACCCCCAAACCAACGAGCAAGCCGAGGCUGCCAACAAGGUCAUUCUAAAUGAACUGAAGAAGCGGCUCAACAAGGCGAAGGGUCGAUGGACUGAAGAAUUGAUAGAAGUCCUAUGGCCGUACUAAUGCACCCCCCAGACAACCACACAAGAAACUCCGUACAGCUUGACGUACGGGACCGAAGCAAUGAUCCCGAUUGAGGUAGGCGAGCCUACCGUCCAAAGACAAAUGUUCGACGUAACCCUCAAUGAGGAAAGCUUGUCGGUCAAUCUUGAUUUGGUCAACGAGCUCCACGAUAAGAGCAAAAUUUGGGAGGCAGCAUGCAAGCUUCAAGCGGCAAGACGCUACAACACCAAAGUCCGACCGAGGAGCUUCCAUAAAGGAGAUCUCGUUUGGAGAAUGAGAAGCGACACGGGAAGAAACAAAGGCAAAUUCUCAUCCAAUUGGGAAUGACCCUUCCGAAUCCGAGAAGUUGUAAUUGGGGGGGGGGGGAUACCACUUAGAGUGACUCUCGGGUAAAAUUGUACCGAGGACGUGGAAUGUCACGCACCUCAAAUUUUAUUACAGCUAAAUUAAUAAAGUUUACGCACUCUUUCCUUACCCGACCAUUUUUUCCUGAAGAGGGUUUUCGGUCGGGAAGGUUUUAACGAGGCGGUUCUCUUCAACAAUAAUGAAUUUGCGCAUCUCAAACACUGGUUCGGUCUAGAUGAAGCCUUAAUCGGCAUACCUGCCGACACCUUGUAACUUGGUUUGGUCUGGAUGACGCCUUGACAGACAUACCCAACCAACACCUUACACAUUCGGUUCGGUCUGGAUGAAACAUUAAUCGACAUAUCAUGCCGACACCUCAUAACUUGGUGUGGUCUAAAUGAAGCCUAGACAGGUAUACCCUGCCAACACCUUACACAUUCGAUUCGGUCUGGAUGAAGCCUUAAUCGACAUACCCUGUCGACACCUGAUAACUUGGUAUGGUCUAGAUGAAGCCUUGAUAGGCAUACCCUGCCAACACCUUACACAUUCGGUUCGGUCUGGAUGAAGCCUUAAUCGGCAUACCCUGCCGACACCUCACAACCUUGCAUCAAAACCAAGCCUAAACUUUAAAAGAACUACAAACGAAGGCCGACCGCCUAUUUAACUUGUUCAAAUUUUUUAUUGUCCAGAUAAUUUACCGGCCGUUAGCUUAACUUGCUAAUUUCUCUUUAAUCAAUUACUUAUUCGACCGAGCAUUUACAAUAUUCAAAGAAAGCGAUCGACUCAUUAAUAGAAGAUGGGGAGGAAGGCCAAACCCCCGCCUCAGAAGAAGUACAAAAGGGUCACACCCCGACCGAAGGGAACAACAACUCAAAACCUAAGUCUACUGGUCUUCACCUUCAGCUCCCCCGGUUGGUGCGGGCUGCUCCUUCGCCGUGACCGCCAGCGCACUCGUUUCGGAAGGAUCGAAGUUGCUAGACAUUUGCGGGCCCCUGAUGAACAUAUAUUUAUUCACACUCACUAGCCUUAUUCAUAGAUUAUUGGACUAUAAUAAUAAAUAAAUCCAUUGUUUUAAUUAAUAUUCUUAUAAUUGGGUUUAUUUGGGCUUUAACUAUUAUUAUUGUUAAUUUUGUGUUUUUAGAGUAAAUUAUCCAGAGGAAGCAUCUACCUUUGUGAAUGGGCCAAAUAUGCAAAAGUCCAAGUUGCUUCUUAAACCAAAACAAGAAACAAAUUUUGAGGAGAAGAAAGAGAAAAUAAAAUCUACAAUAUCUCAGAAACAGAAUUGGAAGCAAAUCUUCUGCAAAAUACAAGAAUUCUGGAAAGAUGGAGACUUGGAAACGGUUAACAAAAUAUAAACUACAAUAUUUUCCCAAGAUCCUUGGAGCAGAAAAGCCUAUAAAAGGACACAAGCAUCAAGGAGAAAAGGGAGAGCUUCAUAGGGUUUUCUUAGUUUAUUUUCUUCUUUGUAAUUAUUUUGUUUUGCCUCCGCAUGGAAGACUAAACCUUUUUUAUUGGUUCCUCUGUAAUUUCCCAUUGAGCUCUGAGGUUUCGUUCAAUAAAAGUUUCUAUUUUUAAUUCUCUAUAGCAGUUGUUUUUAUUGUCUAAUCUCCUGGAAAACUAGUUUUUGUGAGAGGUUGUACUUGAACGCAUGAUUGAGAGUCUUCCUUAUCUUAAACUUUGGUUUCUUAGUUAGUUCGCAUUGUUCUAAUUAAUUUCUUGGUGCAUGAUUCAAGGGAGAGGAGGUAAGCAUUCCCAUGGUGUAUACGCAUGGAACAAAGUGGGUAUGGAUUAAACCAGUAGACGCAUGCUUUAGUGGUGAGUUUCAGUUGAAUCAGAUCGGCGCAUGUUCAAUCUGGUUUAGCUCUGUUGGAGGAUUGAGAAAAGAUUAUUCUUUAGAGAACCUGUGAAGAAUUCAAUGGUGGAAGAACUUGGGAUCAACCGCUUUUUAUUUGUUAUUUUAAUCUCUUUUAUAUUUUCUGCACAACUAUCCCAAACCCCCUUUUUAUCUUUAUUGUUAUUGCUAACUUUUAUUGCUUGCAGAUAGAUUUUAAACCCUGAUCAACUGAUUUUACUAUUGGAUUCGUUGGGAGACGACUUGGGAACAUUUGUCCACAAUUAUACUAUCAUAUCUCUAGUGUUAGACAAGUCCACGCUAGAAUCAUAUUAAUUUGACAGCAAAACGACAGCUAUCAACCCCCAAACAACACAUGGGCCUGUCGGACGGCCUGGAAGAAGCUAUGCUUGAGCAGCUCCAAGGUCCGCCUUGACCUCUUCCUUAGCAGCCUCCAAGCGAAUGACCUCGAAAUUCAGCACUGAGAUCUUGCCUUCACCUUCCCUCACCAUCUUCUUCAAUCGAACCACCACGGUCGCCAUCUCUGCUGCCCGACUCUCAGCCUCAGCCACUUCGUGCUGAGCCUUCUCCCUCUCGGCAACCUCCCGAGCAAUCUUCUCCGCAUAAUCAAAGUUAGCAGCGAGAGAUUGCUUCAAACUGCCCGAAGCUUCGGACAACUCAUGCUCCAGUCGGGAUAUCUCCUCGAUGAGGCAGUCUCGGUCCUGAGAACCAAGAUGGACCAUGACCAGGACGCGACACAACAUCUCCACGCUACCCUUCAACAAAUGCGUCAUUGGAAAGGCCCGAAUGACCUCCCAGGUCGGUCCAGGGAACGCAACCUUCACCCCUCGAGAAAAUUGCAUGUCACCCCCAACACCGUCAAGGGUGACAUGGUGACCUCCAAUGCACGUUUGGUUGCGGGAGGGGCGAUUGGUUGGUUGAACUCAUCUGUCGGCGGCGAGUCAACAUCAACAGGGGAGCGGCGAGGAGGAGGUGUCGGCAGGGACCCGGGUGAGCGAGUAGUUGUCGUUAUGUUACUCGACUCCCUUGGCCUCUUCUUGGACUUGCCGGAAGGGCCAACUGACCCCAUACCAGCUCGACUAGCUGACCCCUUACCGGCAUCUAGGGUCUCGACACUGGGUUGACCCUUUCAUUGGGCGACCCUAUCCCUGAAAGUAUCGAGCAUGUCGUUCGCCUGAGGACAAUCCCAAUUCAUGAGUUCUGCAAAGAAAAGCAAAGUGUUAGUUAGAAUCAAAAAUAUCGACCAAGGGUAAAAGAAACUAGCAUACCCUUAAUAGCCGCCCAGCGCAAUGACUUCGCAUGCACGCCAACUAACUUUCGCGUAGGAAGCUUCCUUGGGAGCAUAUCGAAGAGCGAGAGAAUCUCUAGCUCUUCGAUACCCCCGCCCGGUCGAGGCCACUCCUUGAAGUCACGAGGCUUCUUGGUCCAAUACAAGGGAAACCUCGAUCGACCGGUUUCAUCAAAGAAAUAAGACGUCGCCUUUGGCCUGAAUACAAACUUUAAAAAAUAUCUCUUUGAAUUUUUUAUAAGAGGUAGCGAAGGAAUUGAAAAUGACAUUACCCGACCGACUGAUCAGUGAAGGCCACAGAACAGGGUUGGCCGAGUGAGAAGUAUAAUAGCUGAGGGAACAAGAAGGUGUAGGGUGGAAAUGAAGAACGUCACAUAUUAAGUGAAAGGCCUAGAUGAACGCCCAGGUAUUCGGGUGAAGUUGGGUAGGCGCCAGGUUGAGCGUCCGAAGGACACCCAUCGUGAAACUAUCAAAAGGAAGAGAAACAUGCAAGUCUGAUAAAAGACAUGAGUACAUGUAGAAAAAAAGGGGAACUAGUAGCAGGCCGACCCAUGGGCACGUUCUCGGUCUGCAAGCAGGGCUCAACACUAAAGAAACUCGAACGCGCAUCCGCCUUCAGAAUUGUGUACCUCCCUAAAAACUUGGCGACAAAUUCCUCGUUUGAGAAGGUGGAGGCGAUCUCAGUCACCUUAGAAUUUGCCCAACCAAAAUCCAUUCGGGAGAUGACUUGCUAGGGGCAUCCCGACUGGUCGAUAACAUUGGCCGGAUCGUCUCCCCUGACCAUCUCUACAGGGUGCGGUACGUCAACCACACCGACCGAUAAGGAAUCAGUCGUAGAGGAACCGAAAGACAAAUUCGAAGACGAAGAAGAGGGAUGCACGGGAAUAGGAGAAGGAGUAGCCGAAAAAGAAGAAGUAGGCUGAGACAAGGAAGACAUAACUAACCUUAUAAAAAACCGAAACAUCGAAACACAACAAGAAGACGAGGAAACGCUCGGGUCUCAAAGCAAAUAUCAAAGAGAUAGCACAAUAUCUCGGCAUUGUUGGGACCGCUAUUUAUAGCCUCCAAGGACCUCGGGAGACGAAGCGUCACAACGAUCCCAAUGAGUAUAUUUAAAAUUUAUAUAUCUAUAAUAAUAAAUAAAAGAAUUCUCUUACUGUACAUAUUUAAUACUUUAUUUUUAAUUAUAUUUUAAAUCUUUUAAAAAAAUUAUAAUAACAUAUAAAAUGAUACAUAUUUAAUAAUUACAUUAUACUUUUAAUUAUAUUUGAAAAUUAAAAAAUAAAUUAUAUAAAUAUUUAAAAAAUAUCGUAUAAGUUUGCAUGAAGUUAUUAUUAUUAUUAUUUUCAGUGAUAUACGAAGAAUUCUUUCCUUCUUCACCUCAUAACUCUCCUAACAUCAAUGCUUCAAUAAAAAAACUGAAGAUUAAAUUGAACCAAAAUUAAAAAUAUUAAAUAUCUUAUUUCUAUCUUUGAUUAAUCGAUUUUAAAAAAAAAAUGUUUGACAUUUUGAAAUAGUUUAGAUAAAUUUUAAGAUUUGUUUAUAGUGACGCAAAUACUUGUAGUCUUGUCAGUCAUGGUGACGGUAUAUUAUGAAUGAUUGGAUUGACGCGGAUACGAACAUGCAACGAAAGCCGUCUUCAUCAUUAAGAUGUCUCAACUCAUUUUCUUACCCAUCGAUCCUAACACGAACUAACGUCACGCUUUCUGCGAAACUUUCCUCGCCUUUUUUUCGUUCAAUACUUUCUCCUACAUUAUUCACCCUACCCUACAUUUUCAAAUAAACAAUUAUAACCCAAUUUAUAUAAAAUUUUAAAUAUGUUAAUUAUCAAUAAAGUUCAAAAAUAAAUUUAAAGAAAAAGUCACACCAGCUCAAAAACUUAAAUACUGUUCUGGAAUUUAAAGACUGGAAUUUACGUGUCUUUUCUAUAUUUUUCAAUUAUUAAGAUUUCUUUUUAAAAUAGUUUCACUGCUUUUAACAUUCUUUAAAGAACGAUAUAAUAGAUAAAUGGACGGUGAAGGUGAUCAAGUUGAAGAUAUUCAAACUAGUAAAAUAAAAUUUUAAAAAAGUAUUUAUAACUGUUAGAUAAAAAAAAAAGGUGCUUUCAAAAUUAAAUUAAACAGUGUAAACGAGCUAGUAGCAUUUUUAACUUUUGUGCGAGUACAAAAUAUGACAUUAAGGGGGUGUUUGCUUUUGGGGUUGGCACUGUAGGCGCAGACGGAUGUUGGGUGCCACCCCCAUUUGGAUUUGUAGAUGGGUGAGGGUGAGGGUAAGGGUGAGGGUGAGGGUGAGAAGAAAGUUGGCCAAAAUGAGGGUCUUCUCAUAAGUGAAGAGAAAGGAGAGGGUGAGGGAGUGAGUGCCACGUAGGAUAAGAGAAAAGUCAUGUGUGCCCUUCACUUGAAGGUAUCUGGCCAUGCAUGAGGAAGUAUUUUGUUUGAAGCUUUUCAGCAAAAGCAUGCAUGCACAUCAGCAACAAACACAUGAGACAUCUCACAAAACAGAGACAAUUCACUUGUUCACAAAGCUUCUGUGAAUUUAGUUUCGUUACGUCUGCCAUAAUCGAUUAUGUGGAAAAAAAUUUGGUGGGAUAAUCGAUUAUGGUGUUUUUUGCACUUGAAACAUAAUCGAUUAUGUGUGGAUAAUCGAUUAUGCUCACGACAUAUUAUCUGUAAAAAAAAUUGGUGGAAUAAUCGAUUAUGGUGUUUUUUGCACUUGAAGCAUAAUCGAUUAUGUGUGGUAUAUGGAUAAUCGAUUAUGUGGUAAUUUACACAGAGGUGAUAAUCGAUUAUGUUUCUUAAUUUUCCAGAUUUUUGGAUUUCUAUUUUUUGAACUAAUUUUUGAAUGAUUUUUUGGACAAUUUUAUUUUGAAUGAAAUUUGUUUUAAUUAUUUUUAAAGUAUUUGUUAAUUAGUUUAUAAUUUUAGAUGUGAAUGUUUAGGAAAAUUGAUUAUCUAAAAUUGUAUAUUAUUAAUGUAAAAAUUUCAUGAAAUUUGAAUAUGUUAUUUUUGUGAUAUGAAUUGAAUUCAAUUUAUUAUAGAUUGAAAUUAGAGAUCUAUUAUUUUAAAAUGCUUUUAUUAAAAAGAUUAUAAAAAUUAUUGCAGUAAUUUAAAAACGGAAAAAUUAAAUAUACAAAAGAUUUUUUUAAGAUUUAACAAUGUUAAUAAACAAAUAUUGUAUUAAUAAAAAAAAACAGAAAAAGAUUACAUAAUAAAUUAGAAUUUGUAAUAUUAUGUGUACAUAGUUACUAUUUUAUGAACAUUUAAUUCUUUAUAAAAAAAAUAUAUUUAUUUAUUUGAUGAUUAUUUUUACUUAAUGGAAAUAGAAAUUUUGAAUGCUAUAUUUUAUGUUUUUGGAUAUUUUACGUACACAUACCAUAAAAUACAUAUAAUUUAUUUGUCAUAGUUUACAUAAAAAUUAUUUAUUUGAAAAUUAUUAUUUUUAUAGAAUGGAAAUACAAAUUUUGAUUAACUUAAAUAAUGUAAUAGAAAUUAAAUAAUAUAAUACUAAUUAAUUUAAUUAACUUAAAUUUCCUUUAAACUAAUUAAUAUUUUAUUUUCUUAUUUAUUUAUAUAUAAGGGUAAUUUUGUAAUCUUACCAUUUAUACUAUUCAAAAUAUAUUAAAAUACUCUCACAACUAUCAUAUUAUUCACACUUUCCAAUAAACUUUCUUUACACAUCCCUCAAUCCAAACACCCUCAACUUUCUUCACACUUUCUUCACACUUCCACUCACUCACACCCUCAACUUUCCACUCACUUACAACCCCUAAUCCAAACAAAGUCUAGGAAACAAAACUUUUGACUUAGGCUUCCUUUUUUUCUGGAAGCAGAAAGGAGCUGAUUUACUGUUUGUAGGUAAAACACGAAAAACAAAAUAUUAAAUAAUAUAAAACACAAAAAAAAUGAAAAGAAAAACGAAAUAUUAAAUAAUAUAAAACACAAAAAAAAGGAAAAAAAUUUCUGUUUAAAACUUUCUUCACCUGGAGAGAAUUGCAACGAAAGUUACUUUAUAGUUUAGGUUAGUUUUUUUAUUUUAAACUAAAAUUAUUAUUAUUUUUAUUUAAAAUAAGAUUAUAAUUCAAAUAUAAACAUAUAAUUAAAACUGUAAAAAAAUAUUUAUUAUAAAAUAACAUAAUUAAUUAUUUAUAAGAAUAAAUAUAAAUAAUAGUAAUAAAUAUAUAUUUUUAAAUAAAAAUAUAUAUAAUAAUUAUAUUAAUUAUAAAAAAUAAAGAUAAAAAUAAUAAAGUUAUUUAAUUUAUAAAUAAAUCAAUCCAAUUAAUUUUUAAUAAUUUUUUAAUAUAAAAAUAAAUUUGUAAAUUUAUAAUUUUAUCAAUUAAAAAAUAUAAUUUCAAUCACAUCUAUCUCUUCACUCACAAACUUUCAUAAACUUUCUCUACACUUUCUACUCUAUUUACCUUAAUCCAAACAACCUCACUUUCUUCACACUUUUCCUUCAAAUCAUCUCAAAUCGACUUCCUCAUUUCCACUCUCUAAUCCAAACAAAANNNNNNNNNNNNNNNNNNNNNNNNNNNNNNNNNNNNNNNNNNNNNNNNNNNNNNNNNNNNNNNNNNNNNNNNNNNNNNNNNNNNNNNNNNNNNNNNNNNNNNNNNNNNNNNNNNNNNNNNNNNNNNNNNNNNNNNNNNNNNNNNNNNNNNNNNNNNNNNNNNNNNNNNNNNNNNNNNNNNNNNNNNNNNNNNNNNNNNNNNNNNNNNNNNNNNNNNNNNNNNNNNNNNNNNNNNNNNNNNNNNNNNNNNNNNNNNNNNNNNNNNNNNNNNNNNNNNNNNNNNNNNNNNNNNNNNNNNNNNNNNNNNNNNNNNNNNNNNNNNNNNNNNNNNNNNNNNNNNNNNNNNNNNNNNNNNNNNNNNNNNNNNNNNNNNNNNNNNNNNNNNNNNNNNNNNNNNNNNNNNNNNNNNNNNNNNNNNNNNNNNNNNNNNNNNNNNNNNNNNNNNNNNNNNNNNNNNNNNNNNNNNNNNNNNNNNNNNNNNNNNNNNNNNNNNNNNNNNNNNNNNNNNNNNNNNNNNNNNNNNNNNNNNNNNNNNNNNNNNNNNNNNNAAAAAUGAAAAGAUAAAGGGGAAAAACAAUAAAAGAAAAUAUUGUAGUACAGCAGAGCUGCUAUUCUUUCACUCAAUUCAGUGAAUUAGCUUGACUGAAACUGGAUUUGUUUCAAAAAAUAAAGUCCAAAGAAUAUAGUAUGAAUGAUUCAUUGAUAUUUGGUGAUAUACUAAAAUUGUGAUUGAAAUACUGUUGUAGGUGUGGAGUCAGUUUCGGUGGACAUGAAAGACAAGAAAUUGACCUUAACAGGGGACAUUGAUCCAGUACAAGUAGUUGCCAAGCUAAGGAAGUUUUGUCAUACAGAAAUAGUUUCUGUUGGACCGGCAAAAGAGGAAAAGAAGGAAGAACCUAAAAAGGAUGAUAAAAAGAAGGAAGAUGUGAAGAAAGAUUCUGCAAAAGAAAUAGUUGCAGAUCCACUCAAGUUCCAUCAAGCCUAUGCCUAUUAUUAUCAGAUGAAACCACAGUACAAUCCAUAUUACAGUGCUAUAAGUGUGGAAGAGGAUCCUAAUGGCUGUGUCAUUGUCUAAUUUUAUAUUAUUAUAACUAAGUUGGAUUUAAAAAAUGAAUAAAAAGAAAAAUAUUGUAUUUAUUUUUUCCUUGUUUCUUCUAAUGACUUAAACUUAGGGAUAGCUGGCCAAGCCUGUGAGGGUAUUAUGAUGUACGGGAUUAGAUUUUGUUACGUGAAACUUCUGCAGAAUCUUGAUAUCUUAUUUAUAUGUAAGAACCAGAAAAAAAUUGGCAAUUCAGUAAAUUUGAGUGUAUUUUCAAUAUAAGUGUGUAUCAUUCAAUAUUAACAAUUGUGUUAAUGUGUUUCGGUUUACGUAAUUAGAGGACAACAUAAUUUCAAAAUUAUCCUAAUAAAAGUUUCACACAUCUCAAUGACAUGGUUUUAAAGUCCAAAAUUCCAAAAUCAACAAUGAACAUAAAACAUUUAUUUAACAGAGACAUCCAUGUGCCUCUAAUUGAAAUUCUUAAAAUCGACCAUAUUUUCAAAUUUAUAAUAAAAUGGAGUUAUCAAGCACCAAACUCAAUUACGUAGAUUCAGCAUUGGUUAAGAAACCCUUCGUUCUGAUCCAAGAGAAACCUUUGCCAAAAAAAAUGCAUAAAGUGGAGAAUCAGCAAAUGCAAGCUUUCACUGUCACCAAAGAAGAGAGAAAUUCGAAUUUGAGUUUUGUCGUGACACAACAUUAAUAAAGAGGAUGAAGUGAACAAUGUAAAACGGAUUUUUUUACAUUUGAUACCUUAAAUCUAAUAAAAAAGUUAAACUUGAUUUAAAAAAUGUUACGGCGCAUUAUUUUCACUAGUGAUGAUUGAUUUUACAUAAAUUUUGUGUGAUUAUAAUAUUAUAUUAAUUUAAGAUUUAAGACAACCACAUUAUUAUUAUUAUUAUUAUUAUUAUUAUUAUUAUUAUUAUUAUUAUUACAGAAAUGUGGAACUGAAUCUAAUAGCACAUGAUUCUUGGUGCUAUUGUCACUGUGGAGUAGUUCAGUAUCGGCUUUUCUUUCUUGGAUAAAUUAUUUGGAUGGAAUAUUCUUAUACUGGGUUUUAGAAAUAAUUAACUCCUUCUCCUCUCAGCUUCUCAGUCUUUUAUUUUUACUGUUGACUUGGGUUUUCGAUUAUUGGAUUAGCUAGCUCGGACUCUAUUAUAUGGGUUUUAACUUGUUCUCGACUAUUGGAAGCGGACCAUCACUCAACUAUUGGAUAUGGUCAAGUUCUCGGCUUCUAGAUCCAGGAUCACUCAAAUGUGGGUGUGUGUAUCUGCAAUGAUGGUAAAGUGAGAACCAGUUUGUUUGAUUAUCAUAUAAAAACACUCUACCUACCUAUUAAACAUAUUACCUAUUUAUAGUGGUUGUUGUUGAGCUUUAACUUAAUUGAACUUUUACUUUUCACACCUUUCGGCUAUUAAGUAUAAUUUUAGAGUUUUGAAUCUAUUUAUUAGACUGUGAUUGAAUGUUAUUUUAUUCUAUUAUUUAUUUAUAUUAUUUUAACUUUUAAUAUUCUGUUUUUCGAUUUCUUGGCGUAAUUAAUACAAUACUAAAUGAAAACACUUUAUUUUAAAAACAAGUUAAAAUGUGAAUCAUAUUUAUAGAGAUUGAAAAAUAUUUCAUUAUUUGUAAAUAAAAAAUAUGGUUUGAAUCGAACCUGUUUGGUAGCUUUAAAAUACAAAAUGAAGAAAAUUUGAAUGUGGGGCUAACGCGGAGAGGAACGUGGUAGGGAACGUUGGCGUCGUCAUCGACAACUUUCAUCUAUAGUCAACAUAAGGAAUCUUCCAGGAUCCAAACUCGAACUAAUAUUAUCCCUUCUUUUCUUUUCCUUCAAAUUAUUCGGCUUCACUUCACUCUCUCUGUCGCCGCCAUAAACUACUAUAAAUCUUCCUCAACCUUAUCUUCAUUUCACAACUUCAAAUUUCAAAACCAUCUUUUCCUCAUCCACCUAUCUUCUCCUUCACUCUCUACCAAUUUGCACUAACACUCCCUCUUCUAUCUUCACUCUCACAAACUUCAAUAACAAUGAAGGUUAGUGUUCCAAUUUCACCUCUUAAUUCUUCUUAGAUAUUCACACUUCAUACUCCAAGUUCAGUCUCUGUUUUGUUUUGAUCGUUUAUGGUCUAAAUCAACUUCCAAACUUAGAGUGUUGAGUAGUCCUAACAACUGUUUGAUUUUUGCUGUAACAGAAAGUUGUGUUGAAGGUGGAUGUACAUGAAGACAAAAUCAAGCAGAAAGCUAUGAAGGCUGUCUCUGGCAUUUCAGGUAUUCAAUUAAAUUUCAAUUACUGAACUUCCUCAUCUCUUUAUCUUCUCUUCUUUCAAUGCUCUAAUGAAAAAUGAAAAGAUAAAGGGGAAAAACAAUAAAAGAAAAUAUUGUAAUACAGCAGAGCUGCUAUUCUUUCACUCAAUUCAGUGAAUUAGCUUGACUGAAACUGGUUUUUGUUUCAAAAAAUAAAGUCCAAAGAAUAUAGUAUGAAUGAUUCAUUGAUAUUUGGUGAUAUACUAAAAUUGUGAUUGAAAUACUGUUGUAGGUGUGGAGUCAGUUUCGGUGGACAUGAAAGACAAGAAAUUGACCUUAACAGGGGACAUUGAUCCUGUACAAGUAGUUGCCAAGCUAAGGAAGUUUUGUCACACAGAAAUAGUUUCUGUUGGACCGGCAAAAGAGGAAAAGAAGGAAGAACCUAAAAAGGAUGAUAAAAAGAAGGAAGAUGUGAAGAAAGAUUCUGCAAAAGAAAUGGUUGUAGAUCCACUCAAGUUCCAUGAAGCAUAUCCAUAUUAUUAUCAGAUGAAACCACAAUACAAUCCAUAUUACAGUGCCGUAAGUGUGGAAGAGGAUCCUAAUGGCUGUGUCAUUGUCUAAUUUUAUUAUAAAUAAGUUGGAUUUAAAAAGUGAAUACAAAAGAAAAAUAUUGUAUUUAU
rnacentral:lncRNA from 1 species